rnacentral:rRNA from 1 species
CCCCGGGCGGGAAGGGAGGACCUCGACAAGGGGGGUGAGGAAGGGUAGGCUGAGGGGGGAGAGAUAGGUCGUCCGCCGGCAGCGUGGCGCGGCGGAGGAGGGAGGGGCAGGCGGCGGCAGACGGAGAGGCGAGCAGGGGAGCGUCCGGCGUCGGCGAGUCGUGCGUGUCCACGGUUUAGGGGGUUUAGUCCUUGUCGCUCGGCGGCGGCUACGUGUCUACGUCCGUCGCCGUCUAUUAGAGCCCCUUGUUCGCGGCCCCGGACGGGGACGUCGGUUGAGGCUUGUUCAACGCUACGGGAUAGACCUGGUCCGGCAUCUUGGCUUGGUGGGGCCACGUCUCGACGCGAACCUUUUCCUGUUGCAGCCGCUUGUUCGCUGUGGUCCUCCUCCAGAUGUCGACUGACCACCUUUGCCGGUCCUUGUGCGCAGCUUACCGUAACCGUGUCGACAUGUUCCUGAAGACCGUCUAUAUAGCCUAUUUGUUAGGUUGAGCUACCUGUGAUCUUACGUCUUCGUGCGACUUCUUGUUCUGGUUAAUGUACCACAAUGUGUUCCCGUACUUUACAGAUCGUUACUAUGUUCGUCACCUUCGCUAAGUCCAUCGUCAAGUCCCUCACUCGAUCUGUGACUUGAUCCUUUUACGAAAAUGGGAUCAAAGCUCCUUAACCUCUUAAGUUCUGGUGGCCUUUAACCUUACUCUAAAGGUUGGGACCUUCUACGUCUUGCAAAGAUGUCGUGUGUACGAUACGAUUGACCAAAACGUCAAUCCUCCCCCAGCUUAAUGUCCUCUCACUUCAAACUGGACCUUACGUUGUCUUCACCAUUUGAUUUCGGUUGACUCCUGAACUUCUCCUUCUCCUCCAGAUUACGAAACCCGAGUGCCACGGUUCGUUUCCACUAUCACUUCGAGGUAUUACUCGUUACCCUCAAGUAUCCUCAAUUCGUACUCGUGUUGGUAGGUAAUACAGGUAGGGGUAGAGAGCGUUCAAAGAAAAACUUGGUGUUUAUGAACAGUUCACUUCUUUUCAAUAAAGAUUCUCAAGACGUUGUUUCAUCCCAUUUAGGUUCCUUUCGAUACUUAUAAAAGUCCUCUUACUCUUCGUUGAAGCCUUUCCAUAGUAGUUAUUUUCUCUUUCUAUGCUCGUUAAGUGUCACACAUUUGGUCACCUCUUUUCUUUUGAGUCUACAACUUUGGCGUGACUUCGCGAAGUUUCUUGAGCUCGACGCCUUGGAACCUAAAAGGAUAUGGUACGUUUUUCUACUUCUAUUGUAUCAAUCCUCAGAAAAGACCUGACUACGCUCCAGCUUUCAUCUAAUACUCUAAAAACCUCUAAAGUAUAGCAAAUUAUGGUGUAUGUCGUGAUUAUUCGUAUUGUACGGAAAGUGGGGAUAAUAACCUUACUUAUCAGUACCCUCUUAGGAACACAAACCUACGCGGAACGAUGUUCUAGUCUUUCGACUUUGGAAGUUCACCUACAAGGUUUGAAAGAACGUACACUACCCUCCCUUUGACGGUUCUUAUCAGUAUUGUCUGGUCCUACUUCCAUACCGCUGUCGUUAAAGACUCCAGUACGGUGUUCAUUCCGUGUCUAAAACGUUCAAGUCACACUACGCUUUUCGUGUACUUUAAGAUCCUCGGAAGUACCGUCGUUCCCCGUUGUGUUUACGUCUCGACGUGUCGAACCAUCUGUUGAGUGACUGUCUUUUCCUUAAACUUCUUCCUACCCUACACGAGUGACUCUCUAUGCUACGUUCACUUUUACUCAUGGAGGCUGAGUACACCCUCUGUUCCUUUUUGACCCACGGACAAAUAAAGGUUCGUCUAAAGACGGGUAAGCAGCUUAGUCGACCUGUAACACUCCACCGUUUGAAUAAUAAGUUUCUGUUGCACGAAGGUUUCCUGUCUUAACUCUUCAAAUAACUCGUUAUACUCUCCUACGUCCUCGUAUAUCAUUUUUGUCUCCUUCUCCUACGUAACGUCAGUCGUUGACUUGGCCGCAUGAAGAGGUACGUCGGUUAUCUUUUCGUACGUCGUGCUUAUAUGUGUUCCGUUUAUAAAGACUCUCGUGUCUUACUUGAUAUGAUAAGGUGUCGUAAGUUGCACGUACUCUAUGUUCCCCCUAUGUCUGAGCUUUUCCAGAAGUUGAUACUCUUGGGCCUCAAGUCAUCUUUAAGAAAGCUUCACGAUCGACUUGGACCUUAGGUACGUAAAUUUACGGUUACACGUUUCAAAUGAUCCCUACCCUAAGAGACAACGGUGUAUAAGUCUCAAAAGUGCGUCGAGCCUCAGUUUCUUUAUGGUCGCGUCAUGUACGACGGGUCCACCCGAGGAUUUAAGUAUCUCCUCGCCGACUUUCUCAUGCUCCUCUCUACGAGCUUCUCUUGUCUUUUGUUCUACUCUAUACGCUACGAUAACCCAUUUUACCGCCUGUAGCCGUUCCCCUAUACGCGCCUGCCACGCUUUUCGCCGACGAAGUACGAGCUUGAUCUGUUCUAAGUUCUCUGUAAACCGUCGCUACCGCCUUCUUUUAGGAUCUUUUACUAAUCCAGGAUAACGCCUCGUUCACUCUUAAUCGUUAACAUCAGAGGAGAAGAGUUCGAGCAUCAUCACACACUCCGUUGGUUGGAAUAUACAAUCAAGUUGUAUGAGAGUAGUUGAUCCCACCACAUCAUUUAAAAUGUGAGGGAAUAGAACGUACUUACUCAGUAUUACCCGGAAACCUUAAAAGGGUAUCCUUAAUAACUUUUAGACUUUAUUUUUUACCCGGGUCGAGUCAUUAAGGUUGUGGUAGUCGUAGACGGGCAGGUGGUGGUUGUGGCCGCCGCGACUUCGGUGUCCCCGCGAACGGCGUCGCUGGUAGCCGGCCGGGAAUUGAUCACGGCCUCUGUCGGUUACUAACGGCAGGAACCUCGUCGACGUGGACAUGGAGUCAGUCGGAGAGUCGGGACCGGUGAGGGACCGACUCCGGGUCGUCGGCCGCUGCCAGACCCGCUCCUGCUGCAACCACGGCGACUAGCAAC